GACAGAGGAUGCAAGCGUUAUCCGGAAUGAUUGGGCGUAAAGCGUCUGUAGGUGGCUUUUAAGUCUGCCGUCAAAUCCCAGGGCUUAACCCUGGACAGGCGGUGGAAACUACCAAGCUGGAGUACGGUAGGGGCAGAGGGAAUUUCCGGUGUAGCGGUGAAAUGCGUAGAUAUCGAGAGGAACACCUGCGGCGAAGGCGGGUUGCUGGGCUGAUACUGACGCUGAGGCGCGAAGGCCAGGGGAGCGAACGGG
rnacentral:rRNA from 1 species